rnacentral:rRNA from 1 species
UACGUAGGGGGCGAGCGUUGUCCGGAUUUAUUGGGCGUAAAGAGCGUGUAGGCGGCUUGGUAGGUCUCGCGUCAAAACCUGAGGCUCAACCUCAGUUCGCGUGGGAAACCACCUAGCUAGAGUCCGGAAGAGGAGAACGGAAUUCCCAGUGUAGCGGUGAAAUGCGCAGAUAUCGGGAGGAACACCGGUGGCGAAGGCGGUUCUCUGGGCCUUACCUGACGCUGAGGAGCGAAAGCGUGGGGAGCAAACAGG